rnacentral:misc_RNA from 1 species
GGAAGAGAAGAAACAAGAGGAAAAGAAAGAAGAAAAGAAGGAUGAAAAGGCUGUCAAGGCUGCUGUCUCUCCCCUUGUCCAACAAUAUCUUGACUUGAAGAAGAAGCAUCCUGAUGCCAUUCUUUUGUUUCGCUGCGGUGACUUCUAUGAGACCUACAAGGAUGAUGCGGUGAAGGCAUCCAAAAUAUUGGGUAUUACGCUGACAAAGAGCAAUGGGC